AAAAAGCGAGUGGAGGCCGCUGAUGAAACAAAAGAGCAAUUGGGAAAUUGAACAAGGAAACAGACCGGGGGUCAUGACCGAAACAGAAACAGGAAGACUUGAAAAAUACAAAGAUUUGGAAUUUAUAUAUGGGGAUCAAACCAGGUGAGUCUUCUCUGACACAUAUGUUUGGUUUAGUUUGGUUUCUUAGAUAAGUUACCGAAUUGAUGCAGAGAGAAUGUGUUUGGGCAAUAGUCCAAUGGCCAGCAGUGGCUUAGUGAGUUCUCAUCUUUGAUAUUUUGAUCAUUAUUUAUUUUCUUGUUUUAUAAUCUUCUUCUAUAAACUUUGUUUCCUUUUACCAGGAUUGUUGUUUCAUUUUGGAUGAGUCGGAAUUCAUUCUUUUCGUUUAAACUGCUCUAUAGUGUCUCUUGAAAAUUUUGCACUAUUCUGAGUAAUUUUGAUUUCAGGUGUGUUUUAGUUUCUUUCUUUUGUUCUCCAUUGCACCAAUUUAUAUAUAUUUUUUUUCAUUUGUUUUUUGUGUGACUACUAUGGGUCAUGCAGAUAUAGUUAGUUGUUGCUAUGUCAGGUACUCCUUUUCCUUACCUUCUGUUUUGUUAACCAGAAGGGUGUGAAUAAGCAAACAUCAGUUUUGUUAAGAAUCAUUUUGAGUUUAGGGAGAUUGUUUCAAUUCACAAUAUUUUAUUAUUGUUUUUGUUUCUUUCCAAAAAGCUUUUUCCAAGUACGUAGAAUUUGCUGGUGAAAUUUGAUAUCGAUGAAAAUGAAAAUAUUCAUGUUUGCGAACAUGGUCAACUAAGAUUUUCAGUUUUAAUCUUUUGUGUUGCACUUUUAAUUGUGAUAAAAAGGAAAAACGAUCAUGAAAUAUUUUUUAAAGAAUUUGUUUGGAUAUCAAUUCAAAUUUGAAUACAGUUGUUCUAGGAAACUGAAGCAUAAGGUUCAUUGAGUUUGGUUUCUUAGGUUAUUUAUUCUUUCUCUAUGAUUAGUUCAGUUUUAAUCUUUUGUGGUGCACUUUUAAUUGUGAUAUAAAGGAAAAACGAUCAUGAAAUCUUUUUUUAAAGAAUUUGUUUGGAUAUCAAUUCAAAUAUGAAUUCAGUUGUCCUAGGAACUUGAAUCAAUUGAAGCAUAAGGUUUAUUGAGUUGGUUUCUUAGGUUAUUUGUUAUUUCUCUAUGAUUAGUUUAUUGAAUGAAUUUUUAUUUUGCUUGGCUAAUUUUUUUUUUCUACUAUUUUGCUGGUUAACAAAUCAGAAAAGAUAGAAGAAUGUGUCAGAACCCCUAAGUAGGGUACGUAUCGCGACAUGAGUACUUUACCCAUGUUUAGGAGUGGUUUAAUUUCAACUGCUUUGUAAAAAAGCAAAUGGUGACCGAAGGGAAAACGAAGACACCUGAUCCGCAGAGGAAGGUGAAAUAUUGUACUGUGAGUGAAGGGCCAACAGCCAAUGGUGCAGUAGUGAAAGGCCAAACACCGAAGCUGAAACGAAGAUCUCCGGAGGAUCAAGUUUAUGAAAAGUUGAGGGCUGAUGGAGUUAUGUUGUCUUUUCUUUUCAGCACAUUUAUUGAGUAUUCUGUUAAUUGAUGGCUUGUCUUUACGUAUAAAGAUGAGAAGACAGACCAUUAACGAACUAAAGCAGACACUGAGUAGAGAAGGUACUUGAGUUAUUAUGGAUUUACAGCUUAAAAGGUG